rnacentral:rRNA from 1 species
CCUACGGGAGGCUGCAGUGGGGAAUAUUGGACAAUGGGGGGAACCCUGAUCCAGCCAUGCCGCGAGUGUGAAGAAGGCCCUCGGGUUGUAAAGCACUUUCAGUGAGGAAGAACGCCUGGUGGUUAAUACCCAUCAGGAAAGACAUCACUCACAGAAGAAGCACCGGCUAACUCCGUGCCAGCAGCCGCGGUAAUACGGAGGGUGCGAGCGUUAAUCGGAAUUACUGGGCGUAAAGCGCGGCGUAGGUGGCUUGAUAAGCCGGUUGUGAAAGCCCCGGGCUCAACCUGGGAACGGCAUCCGGAACUGUCAAGCUAGAGUGCAGGAGAGGAAGGUAGAAUUCCCGGUGUAGCGGUGAAAUGCGUAGCGAUCGGGAGGAAUACCAGUGGCGAAGGCGGCCUUCUGGACUGACACUGACACUGAGGUGCGAAAGCGUGGGUAGCAAACAGGAUUAGAUACCCUGGUAGUC